GAUGAACGCUGGCGGCGUGCCUAAUACAUGCAAGUCGAGCGAACGGACGAGAAGCUUGCUUCUCUGAUGUUAGCGGCGGACGGGUGAGUAACACGUGGAUAACCUACCUAUAAGACUGGGAUAACUUCGGGAAACCGGAGCUAAUACCGGAUGAUAUUUUGAACCGCAUGGUUCAAAAGUGAAAGACGGUCUUGCUGUCACUUAUAGAUGGAUCCGCGCUGCAUUAGCUAGUUGGUAAGGUAACGGCUUACCAAGGCAACGAUGCAUAGCCGACCUGAGAGGGUGAUCGGCCACACUGGAACUGAGACCCGGUCCAGACUCCUACGGGAGGCAGCAGUAGGGAAUCUUCCGCAAUGGGCGAAAGCCUGACGGAGCAACGCCGCGUGAGUGAUGAAGGUCUUCGGAUCGUAAAACUCUGUUAUUAGGGAAGAACAUAUGUGUAAGUAACUGUGCACAUCUUGACGGUACCUAAUCAGAAAGCCACGGCUAACUACGU
rnacentral:rRNA from 1 species